rnacentral:rRNA from 1 species
AGAUUAAGUUAUUAAGGGCGCACGGUGGAUGCCUUGGCACUAGAAGCCGAUGAAGGACGUUACUAACGACGAUAUGCUUUGGGUAGCUGUAAGUAAGCGUUGAUCCAGAGAUUUCCGAAUGGGGGAACCCAGCAUGAGUUAUGUCAUGUUAUCGACAUGUGAAUUCAUAGCAUGUCAGAAGGCAGACCCGGAGAACUGAAACAUCUUAGUACCCGGAGGAAGAGAAAGAAAAAUCGAUUCCCUGAGUAGCGGCGAGCGAAACGGGAAGAGCCCAAACCAACAAGCUUGCUUGUUGGGGUUGUAGGACACUCUAUACGGAGUUACAAAAGAACAUGUUAGACGAAUCAUCUGGAAAGAUGAAUCAAAGAAGGUAAUAAUCCUGUAGUCGAAAACAUAUUCUCUCUUGAGUGGAUCCUGAGUACGACGGAGCACGUGAAAUUCCGUCGGAAUCUGGGAGGACCAUCUCCUAAGGCUAAAUACUCUCUAGUGACCGAUAGUGAACCAGUACCGUGAGGGAAAGGUGAAAAGUACCCCGGAAGGGGAGUGAAAGAGAACUUGAAACCGUGUGCUUACAAGUAGUCAGAGCCCGUUAAUGGGUGAUGGCGUGCCUUUUGUAGAAUGAACCGGCGAGUUACGAUCUGAUGCAAGGUUAAGCAGCAAAUGUGGAGCCGCAGCGAAAGCGAGUCUGAAUAGGGCGUUGAGUAUUUGGUCGUAGACCCGAAACCAGGUGAUCUACCCUUGGUCAGGUUGAAGUUCAGGUAACACUGAAUGGAGGACCGAACCGACUUACGUUGAAAAGUGAGCGGAUGAACUGAGGGUAGCGGAGAAAUUCCAAUCGAACUUGGAGAUAGCUGGUUCUCUCCGAAAUAGCUUUAGGGCUAGCCUCAAGUGAUGAUUAUUGGAGGUAGAGCACUGUUUGGACGAGGGGCCCCUCUCGGGUUACCGAAUUCAGACAAACUCCGAAUGCCAAUUAAUUUAACUUGGGAGUCAGAACAUGGGUGAUAAGGUCCGUGUUCGAAAGGGAAACAGCCCAGACCACCAGCUAAGGUCCCAAAAUAUAUGUUAAGUGGAAAAGGAUGUGGCGUUGCCCAGACAACUAGGAUGUUGGCUUAGAAGCAGCCAUCAUUUAAAGAGUGCGUAAUAGCUCACUAGUCGAGUGACACUGCGCCGAAAAUGUACCGGGGCUAAACAUAUUACCGAAGCUGUGGAUUGUCCUUUGGACAAUGGUAGGAGAGCGUUCUAAGGGCGUCGAAGCAUGAUCGCAAGGACAUGUGGAGCGCUUAGAAGUGAGAAUGCCGGUGUGAGUAGCGAAAGACGGGUGAGAAUCCCGUCCACCGAUUGACUAAGGUUUCCAGAGGAAGGCUCGUCCGCUCUGGGUUAGUCGGGUCCUAAGCUGAGGCCGACAGGCGUAGGCGAUGGAUAACAGGUUGAUAUUCCUGUACCACCUAGUAUCGUUUUAAUCGAUGGGGGACGCAGUAGGAUAGGCGAAGCGUGCUGUUGGAGUGCACGUCCAAGCAGUAAGGCUGAGUGUUAGGCAAAUCCGGCACUCAUAAGGCUGAGCUGUGAUGGGGAGAGGAAAUUGUUUCCUCGAGUCGUUGAUUUCACACUGCCGAGAAAAGCCUCUAGAUAGAUAACAGGUGCCCGUACCGCAAACCGACACAGGUAGUCAAGAUGAGAAUUCUAAGGUGAGCGAGCGAACUCUCGUUAAGGAACUCGGCAAAAUGACCCCGUAACUUCGGGAGAAGGGGUGCUCUUUAGGGUUCACGCCCAGAAGAGCCGCAGUGAAUAGGCCCAAGCGACUGUUUAUCAAAAACACAGGUCUCUGCUAAACCGUAAGGUGAUGUAUAGGGGCUGACGCCUGCCCGGUGCUGGAAGGUUAAGAGGAGUGGUUAGCUUCUGCGAAGCUACGAAUCGAAGCCCCAGUAAACGGCGGCCGUAACUAUAACGGUCCUAAGGUAGCGAAAUUCCUUGUCGGGUAAGUUCCGACCCGCACGAAAGGCGUAACGAUUUGGGCACUGUCUCAACGAGAGACUCGGUGAAAUCAUAGUACCUGUGAAGAUGCAGGUUACCCGCGACAGGACGGAAAGACCCCGUGGAGCUUUACUGUAGCCUGAUAUUGAAAUUCGGCACAGCUUGUACAGGAUAGGUAGGAGCCUUUGAAACGUGAGCGCUAGCUUACGUGGAGGCGUUGGUGGGAUACUACCCUAGCUGUGUUGGCUUUCUAACCCGCACCACUUAUCGUGGUGGGAGACAGUGUCAGGCGGGCAGUUUGACUGGGGCGGUCGCCUCCUAAAAGGUAACGGAGGCGCUCAAAGGUUCCCUCAGAAUGGUUGGAAAUCAUUCAUAGAGUGUAAAGGCAUAAGGGAGCUUGACUGCGAGACCUACAAGUCGAGCAGGGUCGAAAGACGGACUUAGUGAUCCGGUGGUUCCGCAUGGAAGGGCCAUCGCUCAACGGAUAAAAGCUACCCCGGGGAUAACAGGCUUAUCUCCCCCAAGAGUUCACAUCGACGGGGAGGUUUGGCACCUCGAUGUCGGCUCAUCGCAUCCUGGGGCUGUAGUCGGUCCCAAGGGUUGGGCUGUUCGCCCAUUAAAGCGGUACGCGAGCUGGGUUCAGAACGUCGUGAGACAGUUCGGUCCCUAUCCGUCGUGGGCGUAGGAAAUUUGAGAGGAGCUGUCCUUAGUACGAGAGGACCGGGAUGGACAUACCUCUGGUGUACCAGUUGUCGUGCCAACGGCAUAGCUGGGUAGCUAUGUAUGGACGGGAUAAGUGCUGAAAGCAUCUAAGCAUGAAGCCCCCCUCAAGAUGAGAUUUCCCAACUUCGGUUAUAAGAUCCCUCGAAGAUGACGAGGUUAAUAGGUUCGAGGUGGAAGCGUGGUGACACGUGGAGCUGACGAAUACUAAUCGAUCGAAGACUUAAUCAAUUUUUAAA